UAGGGAAUCUUCCGCAAUGGACGAAAGUCUGACGGAGCAACGCCGCGUGAGUGAAGAAGGAUUUCGGUUCGUAAAACUCUGUUGUUAGGGAAGAAAAAAUGUAUAGUAACUAUAUACAAAAGAGACGGUACCUAACCAGAAAGCCACGGCUAACUACGUGCCAGCAGCCGCGGUAAUACGUAGGUGGCAAGCGUUGUCCGGAAUUAUUGGGCGUAAAGCGCGCGCAGGUGGUUUAGAAAGUCUGAUGUGAAAGCCAACGGCUCAACCGUGGAGGGUCAUUGGAAACUAAUAAACUUGAGUGCAGGAGAGAAAAGUGGAAUUCCUAGUGUAGCUGUGAAAUGCGUAGAGAUUAGGAGGAAAACCGGUGGCGAAAGCGGCUUUUUGGCCUGCAACUGACACUGAGGCGCGAAAGCGUGGGGAGCAAACAGG
rnacentral:rRNA from 1 species